CAAACUUAUGCCUGCACAAAGAUGGAGCAAGUCAAGUUCAUUACUCAACUAAGUUAUUUUAAAAUGCUUAAGGAAAAAUUAAGCGAAAUAUAAAGUACUCACAGGUCUUCCAACUUUGGAUUAUACAUAAACCCUCCCGUUGCUUGGAAAACCUCAUAUCCAGGUGCGCCCCAAAAAUCAAGUUCAGUUGAUUUGCUUAAUGAGGUUUCAUCAAUAACCACUGAAUCAGGCGCCAGUUUAGUGCAGGGCGUAACAGGAGCCUCCUUCGUCUUGACGGUGACUUCGUCGCCAAUCUAAUUGCCAGAAAUUGUUGACGAUAACCUUAUUUUCAAGCUCACGAUUCAUUUAUACUAGUUCCAAUCCCAAGUUCCCAAUUUUUUUUGCCAAAACCUAAACCCACUUCCUUGUAAGCUUCGAUCGAUCGCUGAAAAAUCUUCCAGUUCGAUCGUUUUGUAAGUUUUUCGAUUAGCAAUGUGGUUUUUCAACUCUUCUUCUGUUUGGUUUUUGGAAAGUUUAUUAUAUACAAAGGACUGCCUUGGUUUAUUAAUUACGAAUUAUAGAAAUUGGGGAUUGAUUUUGCUUUGAGUAAAUUUAUGGAUUUUAUUCAAUUUUGCCUGCAUUUUCUGGGGAAACUAUCGAAUUGGUUUCAGUGAUCACAGUGAUGAUAUGUGGAUGGAGUUGUGUUAGUGUUGGUUUUGACUAUAGAAUUAAUCUGCUUAUAUAAUUUGGUAGUUUUGAAGAAGCCCAUAGACUCCUAAUCAACAUGAUUGAUUCUGGAAUUUUAGCUGAUGUAUGUACAUAUAGUAUUGUAAUUGAUUCUCUUUGCAAAGUGGAGAAAACUGAAAGAGUUAUAUGAACUGAUGUUAUCGAACGGGGUUUACCAGAUUCACUUUGAUCGAAGGCUAUAUGAAGGUUGAUAAAACACAAGUGUUAGUAGUGAGUUCUCAUCAUAUAGUUUAUGUUCCAUAAUUAGCAUUGUACAAAUUAGGGAAUAAGUGGCUGCAUUACCCAGAUUGAUUGUGUUGUAUGUACCAAGACAUGAGAAACCAAGUACAGCAAAGUGAAAAGGUGCUUUGCUAAGUACAUUGAAAAAGGAAAGAGGGUGAUGAAACUUCAUCAUUUAAUGGAAGAAAUGGAGAGAGUCAUAGAUGACAAGGUUGAAAGAACUCGUGUCUUGGAAGGUGUUUUAGGCUACAUAUUGUGCUCAACUCAGGAAGCAGUGGUUAUACCUCCUUAUGUUUCUUUUGCCAUAAGACCAAAUCCUGGUUUCUGGGAAUUUGUUAGGGUCAGCUCUGAGGAUCUAUCAGUUGAGGCCAUCACUACCACUGACUACUUAAAGUUCAAAGAGAUGCUACAUGAUGAGAAAUGGGCCAAUGAUGAAAAUGCACUGGAAGUUGAUUUUGGAGCUGUUAACUUCUCUGUUCCUUCCUAACUUAACACUUCCUUCCUCAAUUGGAAAUGGACUUGGUUUUAUUUCCAAGUUCAUAACUUCAAAACUAAGUGGGAAUUUGGACUACGCGCAGCCUCUUGUGGAUUACUUACUGUCACUAAACAUCAAGGAGAGAUUGACUCAAAGAGUGGUCUAAUCAAGCCUCAAGAACUCAUCUGUUCUGGUUGGUUAUUUAUGGUUCGAGUACAUUUACAAGCUGGACAAGGUUUCAUGACUCUCUUUGCGUAUGUGAUUCUACCUCCAUAUGAAUUGUCUAACCCUUAAAAAGGCUCAAACAUCAGGAUCAUUUAUUCUUCUAAUUUUUUUAACGUUAUACUUUUGACAAUUUAUAUGUAGAUGGCUUAGAAAGGCAUUUCUCAAGCUCAUCUAUUUCAGCGUCACCUCCAUUGUGAUCAGAUUCAUCUGGUAUGGAGUUGCCUUGAGUUGAGUACGGGCCACCUCCUUAGACACAAUCCCUCUAAUUAUGUCUAGAAGGUUGAUUAAUAACUUCAUCAAGGCGUCCAUCUUUAGUGCCAAUUUUAUAAGAAGCCUGGAGGACAAGGUGUCUCCAUUUCUCCUCCGAGGUUGUUCACGACUUUAAGGUACGCUCGGUUUUGGCAGAACAACAUCCACAAUGCGCACCUGAUAUGGAAAAGGAGACACCAAUUAAAACUCCAAUCAAUCUUAGGUACUUAUGGAACAAAUAGGCAUAGGUCAAAAUAGUAGGGCAUACCUUCUUGCAACUGCCAUAACCCCCGUGCGCACAUACAUAAUGCUUCGCCUUACUACACUCAUCAUCAAUCCAGAAUACUAUAGGUGACAUAGACCUAUCCACGUACAGGCCUGGAACGUCAAUAUAAUGGAAAUACAACAGCUGCAAAUAGAAAAAUUUCAAAAAAUUAAUCAAUCAUAAAAAAAUGGUUAAAAAAACAAUUAUUAAAAUAAAAAUAAAUCAAACUUGAAGAAAGGCAUUGAAACCACAUACGUAGACAGCACGACCUACUUUGAACUUCCUAAUUGAACCCAUCAACUUGCUAAAUGAAUGAGUGGUCCAAUUAUGUGUUGUAAUUCUACUACGGUCCAUGACAGCGCCAAUGUAACUAGUAUGUAGCUAGUUACAAGAACCGGGCACGUGAGCGCUCCCAAGUACAACUAGAACAAAGGUGGCCAAGAAGUAAUCAUCAACCUAUUUGUACUCCACCAAUUGGCCUUCUACUUGGACAAUAUCAGUCUUUUCUCUCAAUUAAAUAUUCAUUCCUUAAAAUCUGAUGACGGAACCCGCUUUCACGUCUAUGAAACUCGAGUUGGAGUCAAGUUAUCUACCUUACUUUAUUCCUCUUUCUUCAAAGUCGGGCAGUCUUUCUUGAGAUGCCCAAUCACCCUGCACAAGUAGCAUGCUUUUGCCCGACAUUCGCCCAGAUGGUGCUUCCUGCAUCUAGCACACUCUAGGUAACUCCUCCAUGUCUCGUUGUCGCCCUAGCGGCCGCCCUGGAUACCCCAGCCCCUCCUAUCAAGACCAGCAAUGGUUGAGGUGUCAGGGGUAUUCCUCUUCUGUUCACUAGGGCCUCCGCCCCUACCAGAUCCCAUAAAUGGAGGCACUUCCCUUCGAACAUCCCGUCGCGCAGCACUCUCCCUCCAUAUUUUGU